AACUAGUUUUGCUUGAUUCUUAUCUCGUCAAAAGGGUGGUGGGAUUUGAGUAAUUCUACUCUUUAGGGUAAAAAUACUCAAUCAUUCAUCUUAUCAAUCAUGUAAAGUAAACGUCCAUGAAAGUAUAUUUAUUAUAUUUGAAAAAAGAAAAAUAGAUAGCAUCACAUCCCUACUAAAAGUCUAAAACUAUAUAGACCAAUCUAUUUGUCCCCGUUUAAUAAAAAAAGUAGCCAUGAAAAAAAAAAUAGAAAUACCAUUUCCUCCACCUCAUUUAUAAUAGUACAAUUUUUUGGACAUAGAAACUAAGAAAAAAAUAUUUAGUGUGUAAAUUAAAUGAAGACCACUUGUAAAAAAGAUGUAUAAAGCAAGUUUAUGGUAUAAAGUAAGCGUGGGGUCAUUUGUUUAGAGUGUAAAGUAAG
rnacentral:lncRNA from 1 species